rnacentral:rRNA from 1 species
CAGUCGCCACGGGAAUACGUAGGGUGCGAGCGUUGUCCGGAAUUACUGGGCGUAAAGGGCUCGUAGGUGGUUUGUCGCGUCGUCUGUGAAAUUCCGGGGCUUAACUCCGGGCGUGCAGGCGAUACGGGCAUAACUUGAGUACUGUAGGGGUAACUGGAAUUCCUGGUGUAGCGGUGAAAUGCGCAGAUAUCAGGAGGAACACCGAUGGCGAAGGCAGGUUACUGGGCAGUUACUGACGCUGAGGAGCGAAAGCAUGGGUAGCGAACAGGAUUAGAUACCCCAGUAGUCCCUGUGUCUUAUU